UGACUAUGUACGUACUCUGGUGGUUCUAUUGACCGUGGUAUUGAAUACCACGGUCAAUAGAACCACCAGAGUACGUACAUAGUCACACAGAU
rnacentral:miRNA from 1 species